ACGGGGGGAGCAAGCGUUGUUCGGAUUUACUGGGCGUAAAGGGCGCGUAGGCGGCCUGCUAAGUCGAACGUGAAAUCCCUGGGCUCAACCCAGGAACUGCGUCCGAUACUGGUUGGCUUGAAUCCGGGAGAGGGACGUGGAAUUCCAGGUGUAGCGGUGAAAUGCGUAGAUAUCAGGAGGAACACCGAUGGCGAAGGCAGCUUCCUGGUCCAAUUCUGACGCUGAGGUGCGAAAGCGUGGGUAGCGAACGGGA
rnacentral:rRNA from 1 species